GAAAGCACAGGAGAAAUUUUGAGUUAAUAACUGAGUACAUGAUACAAAUGAAGUCAGUCAUUGUAUAAUUAAUAUUGUAAGUCAGGAACUGGCUCCAUCAUGUGGACACUGAAUGCAUUGCAAAACUUUUGCAGAUAGGUUGCAGUGACUGAUUUUCUUUGCCACAAGAUGUGACCUUUGCAUUUGAAAAACCCAAACUUUUGACAUCACUAAAACACUUUUUUCACUUUUUUUAAAUUGAUUCUUUUUAGUUAUAUAUAAUGUUGGAAUACAUCUUGACAAAAUCAUAAAAGCAUGGAAGAUAAUUUGUUCUGUUUCAAUCUCUAGCACUUCCCCCACCCCUCCUUCCUCCUUUCUCUGUACUAUCUUCCUGCAAUUUGUUUAUAUUUUUUAUUUUUUUAAAUUAGUGUCUUGUGAAGAUACUUGAUGUUGGGAUUGUUUUCUCUGAUAUGCAGAAUCUAAUCCAAACUGAAGGCCCCCAAAGAGGUAAAGGGAAAAAUGGGGGGGAGGGAAUUUCAUCCAAAUAGAGGAAAGGUCAGUAGAGUAGUGUGAACAGGGAUGGAGGGGACAGAAAGAGGGACCAGAAAACGGAAGAUCUGUGGAGUGAAGUUGAUGGAAGUUUGGUGUGUACAUACAUGAAAGAGGCACAAGAACACAAAACACAUUUAGUUAGGAAACCCAAGCUGAAAUAUCCAUUCACCACUGAGUAACUGGUAUGUAAUAAGCAUGCUAUAAGCCCAGGAAGAGCACUACAUAAAACAAGAAGGGUUCUUGCCCUCAAGGAACUUACAUUCUAGUUCCAGCAAGCAGGAAUACUAUGGCUUGUAUAUGAGAUGUCCCCCAAAAGCUCCUGUGUCAAGUAAUUAUACAUCCAUUGGCAGUGUGUGCAGGAUGGUCCACUUUAGUACUGAAAUGCCUUAGUUUCAUGAAUAACACGAAUGAAAAUAAUCAGAAAGACUCAAAAUUUAGUUCUGAGCACAGUUGGGUUGGCAGGUCAGCAGUUAAAUGACAUUUUUUAUUUCUAUUAAGACUGUAAAAAAACUUAACAAAGCUCUCUCUCAGGGAAUUGUUGCAAAUGUUCCUGCUGAAGAGGAUGGACUGACCACAGGAGAUGUUCUGUUACUAACUUCAACAAGAAGUUAUUACGAUAAGUGUUCUCAGAAAAUUAAUAGAUUUUGUGAAUGAAGGCACCAAGCCUCUAUCCCUUCAUUAUUUUCUAAGUACUUUUACAAAAUCAUUCUGAUGGAAAGUUCUAUACCAGAUUAUCUUUGCUAUUCUCUUUAUUUUAAUAACUAUGAAAACAGCUAUUCAUUUAAGUUUUGAAUUUAGCAGUCAAGUAUGAUUCGUCAUUGCAGUGGUGCAAUUGAAAACAAUGAAUGAAAAUUAAUUAGACUCAAAAUUUGAAAGCCCUAGGCUAUAACACCCCUGUCAAUACACACAGAAGGCUGAGUGUUUGGAUGGUCAUUUGUAAGUAUAGCUUGAAAGUUAGCACUUGUGGGUUAACCGACUGUCAGCAAUGUUCAAAAAAUACAAGAAGCCACAUAAAGAAAUUUGGAGAGUGAUGGGACAAUUGGAUGACAUCAAUGCUAAAGUAGAAGAAAUAAAUUUAAUGUGUGUGUGUGUGGGGGGGGGGGGUGGUGUAGAUGUAUAAAAGGCACAAAAAGAAAUGCUAGGCCUGGGACUGUAGCUCAGUGGUAGAGUGCUUGCCUCACAGGCGUGAGGCACUGGGUUCAAUCCUUAGCAUCACAUAAAAAUAAAUAAAAGACUGUCUACAAUUAAAAAAAUAUUUAGUAAAAGAAAUGCUAGCAUUUGAAGCGUAUGUGAAAAGUUUCAGAUUUGUGACCUCUGAAUAUACUCAUUACAUUUCACAUUUGUAAAACAAUGCGGGCUGGGGUUAUGGCUCAGUGGAAGAGCACUUGCCUUGCACAUGUGAGGCACUAGGUUCGAUCACAUAAAAACAAACAAAAUAAAGAUAUUGAAAAGAAAAGAUUUAAAUCCAAAAAAACUCAAAGCAUAUUUUAGGGUAAACUAAUCUAAAUUUUAAAUUCCCCAGACAAUGUGUAAAUUUUAUUUGUUUGUUUGUUGACCGUUUGUAUAUCUUCUGUGAUGUCCCUGUUCAGUUCCUUUUCACAUUUGGUGAUUGGGAUACUUGUUUUUACAUUGCAUGAUUUCUUUAUAUAUCCUGAAGAUGCAUGCUCAACCCGAUGUGCAGGUGGCAAAGAUUUUCUCCCAUUGUAGGUUCUCUUCACAUUCUUUUUUUUUUUUAAGAGAGAGAGAGAAUUUUUUUUAAUAUUUAUUUUUUAGUUUUCGGCGGACACAACAUGUUUGUUUGUAUGUGGUGCUGAGGAUUGAACCUGGGCCGCACGCAUGCCAGUUGAGUGCGCUACCGCUUGAGCCACAUCCCCAGCCCUCUUCACAUUCUUGAUGGUUUCCUUUGCUAUGAAGAUGGUUUCUAGUUGGGCAACUCAACGUAAUUCUUGAAGCAGUUCAGUGAUUAAUGAUACAUGGAAACCAAGAAUAUAACUUACCGUAGAUUAUAAAAAUCAAGAAUAUAACUCACCAUGGAUUAUAACUUACAUGUGUAUCAUGCUCAUUUAAAAAAAUUGUAGCUGUAGAUGGACAUAAUGCCUUUAUUCUAUUUGUUUACUUUUAUGUGGUGCUGAGGAUCAAACCCAGUGCUUCACACAAGCUAGGCAAGAGCUCUGCCACUGAGCCAUAGCCCCAACCCUUAUCAUUUUUAAGAGUCAUAUCUUCAAGAGAUAAAGGCAGUAAUAACCUUAUUAAAAAUCAAGAAUGUAGGUUCACAAAAUGUAGGCCCUUUAACCAAAUCCCAGUUUCAGUAAGGCAUAGAGUACAGAUGGAAACCUAGCUCUGCACUGUUAGUUGUGUUUUCCCUGAGCCAAGCUGCAGUAACAGGCCCAACAAUCUAAUGAAUUCAGUUUGUUUGAAUAGAGAUAAUAAGACAUUCUUAUUAAAACCCAUCAGCCCAGAUAAUAUGACGGUCUAACAUUAUGUCCUCUUUGCCAGUGUUAGAUGUCUGACAAUUUAAAUAUUGUUUAGCAUUCAUCACAGAUUUUCUAACCACAGAUGUUUGGGUGAGUGAGGUAGCGGGAAAGGCUCUGCUUGUAAUCAUACAAAAAAAACCCCAACAAAUUGGUUCAUCCAAAAGUUGACAGAUGUUGCUGAAGGGUGUUAGAAUAGUGAAAGAACUCAAAGAACUCAGAAGCCUGUAUUCUCAUUACAACUGGUACAUGUAUAUAAAUGGACUAAUCCAAACUGCCAUUUGUUUUGCCUGCUUUUCCCCUCUUGUAUUUCCAUUUUGACUUCAGAGAGAAGAAAGAAUUAAAGAAGAAAAUGGAUAAACAGAUGCAGGAAUAGAUAAGAGAAGUAAAAUUCUAAGAUCAGAAGCAGAUGGAAGAGUAAGUGAAAAGGACUUCUCUACCCCACUUAUAUCAGGGAAUGAGGCAGUGGGAGGGAAGAUCUCUCUUAGUAGGAUUUUUGUCAUCCAGCAGUGCCUCCUUUCCUUCCUUUCUGAAUAGACCAUCACAGUGGAGCUUGACUUUCUGGGGCCAGUACCUGUACUUUCUUUGAAUUGACAAAUUUAUUUCUGCAUGUUAAGAGCCACAGAUAUUUCUUGUUUUGUGUUGAUAUAUAACUAAAAACUAAGAAGAGGCAUGACACAUUCUGAUUUUAUCGGAGGAUCACCGGGUGUUCUGGGUUUUGUAAAUCUAAAGGAACAUUAUACAGCAGUUCACAUCUUAGUCAGCCACAGCUUUUCUCCAGAAUUUAGAAACCUGGGCAGAAGAGAGGGUGUGACUGGGGGUGCACAGGGAGGAAAGUUGGAGUAACUGCCCAGGACAGCUCCCAGUGGAGAUGUCCCCCCCACUUUUUUCUUUGUUUUUGGCUAAUGAAUCCAAAGGCACUUUACCAUACAACUGUACUCAUAUAUUUUUACUUUUUUAAAAAAGUUGUGCUAGUCUCUAAGUUGACACUGGCCUCAAAGUUGAGACAUCCUGUCUCAGCCUACUGAGUAGAUGAGGUGGCAGGUGUACACCACUGCACCUGGACAGGGGUGGCCCUUGUUACCCAGAAGCAUCCUUAUUUUCAUUUUUAAUGUAUUGUUAUUAAAAUGUUGAAACCCAGAAAUGUAAGUACACAGAACACCACCCCACCCUUUCCUGUGUACCCAUCAUCCUGUUUCAGAACUUGUCUCCAGAGUACUGUGCAUGGAAGGGCAAUUCUUGAGCAGGACACCAUGUGCUUGCAAUAUAGAUUAAAAGAUUUUUAUUUUUUAAAAAUGCACAAAACCUUUUGAAGUUUCCUGAAAAUGAGUCUUUUUUAGUGUGUACUUUAUUAUAGAUAGAAGAGGUACACAGAAAAUGACAAGAACGGCUCACAGAAAACGUGAGAGCUGUUAGCAGAUCCUGGAUGGGAAGCCCAAGGAGGCUGGACUGUGGUACCUGGACUCUUCUAUACCGUCCUGGAUGAUGUCACCUGCCAGCCCAACCCCAGCAGCAGUCAAGGUUCAGAAUGUGAGCUGCCAGUGGUAGUGUUUCCUCUGAAGAAGAACCCACAGGUCUUCAGGUUCUCUGAAGAAGACCAGUGCAGGUCUGUAGGACAGAGUAGCUGUCCAGUGGUUUUCGUCAACAUGGUCCCCAGUGCCUAUAUCGACACUGGGAAAGACCACAGGAGAUCCUUUUUCAAGUGCAUGAUGAGAUGACUUUGAGUCCAAAUAGAAUUCACAGGUGUGCAAUUAAGUGCUCAAAAGAAUUUUGAGGAUUUAUCCUGGCACCACUAUUCUGAGCCUGAGGGAGACCAUGACAUUCUCGAGGAUGAAGGACAAAGGAUUCUGUAGUAUGAUCCUUCAAGGUUGUAUUGAUGGGAUGGGACGCCAAGUAGAACAGGAAGGAUGGUGCUCCAAUGCCAAGGGAAUGACCCCUAGAAACAUCAGGUCUCACACUCAGACCAAGUGUGAUCUUGCAGGUGCUGGAGAGAGAUUCUGAGGGUGGCCAUGAGUCAGUGGAUGGGAGACCCUUGGAGGCCCUGCUGCAAGCUCUGUUUGGAGAUUUGGAAGUUCCUGCACCCUGUUCGCUGGUCAAGACAUGAUGUUUUUGAUCCUGGUGCAUCAUUAGCUGAUCAGAGCAGACUGUGUACUUGUGUUUAUGUUGGAGAACCAGCCUUUGUCCAUGGACUUGAGGUUACUUGAGGAAAGAAGCUGUGAUAUACUGCAGAAUUGGACCAAAAGCAAAGAUGGCAAAAAUGGAUAUUGAAUUGUACUUAGGACAGACAUGUCAAAACCCAAGAAUCUACCAAAAGAUAUGAAAACCAUGACUGAAGUGAAGAAAGUGAGGAGUUCUGGGAUUCUUCUGAGUACCAGCAGCCCUCCCCUCACUGCACUCUGUGCUGCCCUCCAGGGACUUCUGAAUGAGCUGUCUCCAUAGCCUCAGUUGAUAUAUGUGCAGUGUACCUCUCCUCUGGCACUUAACUCAUCUGAUGUUUCUUAGGGCAUAGACUUUUGUUUUUAAUUUAAGUCCUCAUUGAGAGAGAAUUCUCAGAAGCUUCAGGGCAUUUUUAUUUAUUCCAAAGUACAUUUCAUCCUGUAGCUACUGCUUUACCCUCUUACAUCUUUGUAACCAGUCAGGUAGCUCAUCGCUGUGUGAUUUUCUUUCUAUUUUUAUGUGAUCCCUUGUUUGUUCUUUCAUAUUUCUCUCUAGCUUUUGCAUCGGAGAUAAAACAUACAACACUUUACAUUCUGCAUCUAGAUUAUUUCACUUAUGAUAUUUUUAGUUCCGUUCAUAACUUUGCUGGAUGUAGCAGUCUUGGUUGGCAAGUGUUUUUCUUUCAAAGCUUGGAAUAUUUCAUUCCAACCUCCCUUGAUCUUAGAGUCCAAGGUGAGAAGUUUGAAGUGAGGCAUUAUAAAUAAAUAUAAUCAAACUUAUACAAAUAUAAGUUUAUAUGAAUGUAAAUAAAUGUGACCUGAUGUUU